GACAGAGGUGGCAAGCGUUGCUCGGAUUCACUGGGCUUAAAGGGCGCGUAGGUGGUCUUGUAAGUCAAAGGUGGAAUUCCAUAGCUUAACUGUGGAACUGCCUUUGAUACUGCAAGGCUUGAGUCAGGUAGAGGAGGGCGGAAUUCCCGGUGUAGCGGUGAAAUGCGUAGAUAUCGGGAGGAAGGCCGGUGGCGAAGGCGGCCCUCUGGGCCUGUACUGACACUGAGGCGCGAAAGCGUGGGGAGCAAACAGG
rnacentral:rRNA from 1 species